ACCAAGCGGUGAUGAUCAUGACGUUCAGUCAUUUCCCUGAAAACACUGAUGCUUUUAAGUCACUACCUCAUCUGAGCUUGAU